AUUGAACGCUGGCGGCAGGCCUAACACAUGCAAGUCGAGCGGAGCGGCGGACGGGUGAGUAAUGCUUACGCAUCUGCCUGGUAGUGGGGGAUAACGUCCGGCAACGGGCGCUAAUACCGCAUACUAUCAGACGAGCCUAGGUCGGAUUAGCGAGAUGGGGGGGUAAAGCCCUACCAAGGCGACGGUCCGUAACUGGUCUGAGAGGAUGAUGAGUCACAUGGGAAUGGAGCCACGGUCAAACCUCUUAGGGUGGGCAGCAGGGGGAAUUAUUGGACAAUGGGCGAAAUCCGGCUCCGGCCAUCCCGCGGGUGGCAAGAAGGUCUGCGGUUUGUAAAGCACGUUAAGUUGGGAGGCGUUACCAACAGAGUAAGCACCGGCUAACUUCGUGCCAGCAGCCGCGGUAAUAC
rnacentral:rRNA from 1 species